AGAAUUUCAAGUUUCUCAGCUAUUCAAGGUUUGCAAGAAUUUCAGCUAUUUGUUAAGUUAGUUAAAAUUUUUAAUUUGAUACCAAAUCCACUUUACUUUUCUAUCAAAAUUAAUUAAUUAGCUACGUGAUCCUAAUUAAAAAUAGGCUAACCCACAUAUUUAUGAGACUUGAAAUGACAGGGAGACUAAUGCACGGCCGGAGUACAA
rnacentral:misc_RNA from 1 species